CAGAAGCAAGACAAAAAGGGGGAAAACCCUAGUUUUCAAGGAUUCUCAAGAUUAAGAAGAAAUUGAGAGCCCAAAUCAAUGCUAGAACCCGAAUUGUCAACCAUCUAAGCUCGAACAUCAAUAGGCGUGAAGGAAGAAAGCUCGAACACUAGUAAAGCGGGAGGUGUACAAGAUCGAGGUAAAACUCCGCUAUAGGCGAUUUGGGAAUAUGGAGCGAGCACAUGAUCAAGCCUUAUUAUACCAAACGCUUCCGCUAGUUUUUUAUACAUGCUUUGGGUCCAUGUUUUGUUACUUUGUUAGAAGUCUUACACUUGAAAACUUGUUGUUUUGUUUGGGUAGUUUAAAGCUAGUAGGGUCGUAGGUGAAUAUUGUCUAUUAUGUCAAAAACAGGGGGCAUGUCCGUUUUACAAACGGGUCAUGCCCAAAUUUUGUAAAAAUUUUUAGUUUGUGUCAA